UACAUGUCGAUUUGUGUGUAAUGUGCGGUGCGUGUGGAGUGUGUGGUUGCUGGUGUGUGGUCGGAGCAGAGCUGUCGGACCGAGCCGAGCAGUGACACGCUGUGUUCAGUCUGUAACGUUAGGCCUUGUGUUGUGUUUUCAUCUCUGCAGCUGCUAACAACACACAGACAGACACCACACACACACACACACACAGACACACACACACACACACACACACACACACACACACACAUACACUUAUACCCUUGUUUCAUCUUUUUAACCCUGACCACAACUCUUUGGCACUUCUCAUCAGUGCUGCUAUCAGUUUAAGGGUAAUAAAAGCAUUCAAAGGGCGAACCAGACCACAUCUAAGGUCUGCAUCCAUCUCAUCCACUCACGAGUAGAGAGAAGUGGUCUGACUCUUAGUGGUCUUCUGAUCUCAUCCUGCCAUGCAGCAGACAAUCUGGGUACGCAUGAAACCUAGGAUGGACCAUCAGAUCACUGUACACUGUACAGCAGUAGCAACUUCAUAGCUUGAUAUCAUUUACGCCACAAUGUUCAAUACAAAUUCCCGUAUGGAGAUUACUUUUUAAAGUGGGAGCUGGAUUCAGCCCCACGACCUUAAAGCAAAGAGAAAAAGAGAAUGACUUGAAGAACACUAUGUAGUGUAUAUGUAGCAAUUUGAUGCACACUGAAUGAAUGCCUAAAUAAUGUUUUCUUACUGGAUGUAUUUUAAUGGAUUGCUAUUGAAAUGUAAUAUCAGCCUGGAAUUAAACUUGCAACAACGACCGA